rnacentral:rRNA from 2 species
ACCUGACUGCUAUCGGAUUGAUACUAAGCCAUGCGAGUCAUUGUAGCAAUACAAGGCAGACGGCUCAGUAACACAUAGUCAAUCUAACCUAUGGACGGGGAUAACCUCGGGAAACUGAGAAUAAUAUCCGAUAGGCCACUAUGCCUGGAAUGGUUUGUGGCCCAAAUGAUUUAUCGCCGUAGGAUGGGACUGCGGUCUAUCAGCUUGUUGGUGAGGUAAUGGCCCACCAAGGCUAUAACAGAUACGGGCUCUGAGAGGAGAGGCCCGGAGAUGGGUACUGAGACACGGACCCAGGCCCUAUGGGGCGCAGCAGGCGAGAAAACUUUGCAAUGUGCGAAAGCACGACAAGGUUAAUCCGAGUGUUUUCUGCUAAAGAAAUCUUUUACCGGUCUUAAAACCACCGGCGAAUAAGGGGUGGGCAAGUUCUGGUGUCAGCCGCCGCGGUAAAACCAGCACCUCAAGUGGUCAGGAGGAUUAUUGGGCCUAAAGCAUCCGUAGCCUGCCGUGUAAGUUUUCGGUUAAAUCUAUGCGCUCAACGCAUAGGCUGCCGGAAAUACUGCACGGCUAGGGAGUGGGAGAGGUAGACGGUACUCGGUAGGAAGGGGUAAAAUCCUCUGAUCUAUCGAUGACCCCCUGUGGCGAAGGCGGUCUACUAGAACACGUCCGACGGUGAGGGAUGAAAGCUGGGGGAGCAAACCGGAUUAGAUACCCGGGUAGUCCCAGCUGUAAACAAUGCAAACUCAGUGAUGCAUUGGCGUAAGAGCCAGUGCAGUGCCGCAGGGAAGCCGUUAAGUUUGCCGCCUGGGAAGUACGUACGCAAGUAUGAAACUUAAAGGAAUUGGCGGGGGAGCACCACAAGGGGUGAAGCCUGCGGUUC